rnacentral:rRNA from 1 species
UACGGAGGGGGCUAGCGUUGUUCGGAAUUACUGGGCGUAAAGCGCACGUAGGCGGAUCUGAAAGUCGGGGGUGAAAUCCCGGGGCUCAACCUCGGAACUGCCUUCAAAACUGCAGGUCUUGAGUUCGGGAGAGGUGAGUGGAAUUCCGAGUGUAGAGGUGAAAUUCGUAGAUAUUCGGAAGAACACCAGUGGCGAAGGCGGCUCACUGGCUCGAUACUGACGCUGAGGUGCGAAAGCGUGGGGAGCAAACAGG